UACAGAGGUCUCAAGCGUUGUUCGGAUUCAUUGGGCGUAAAGGGUGCGUAGGCGGCGCGGUAAGUCGGGUGUGAAAUCUCGGAGCUUAACUCCGAAACUGCAUUCGAUACUGCCGUGCUUGAGGACUGGAGAGGAGACUGGAAUUUACGGUGUAGCAGUGAAAUGCGUAGAUAUCGUGAGGAAGACCAGUGGCGAAGGCGGAUCUCUGGACAGCUCCUGACGCUGAGGCGCGAAGGCUAGGGGAGCAAAGCGGG
rnacentral:rRNA from 1 species